CUGCAAACCCUCUCCAUCCAGCUCUCCGAGAAGCAGUUGACAACAACGGAGACCCUACAGAUAACACAAGCCCGUGAUUGUUUCACUUGCUCCAAAUUAAACGACCAUUCAAAGCUCACGGCAGAAAAGAUGGCACAGGUGUGGAAGGUCGUCGAAUUCAAAGAUAGGAGCACUACCAUAGUGCCAAGCAGCUGGUUGGAGGAGGCAGGGGAGUCAUGGAAUUGUUUCUGGCCUCCUAGUUCUUACGAUCAUAACCGCCUCCAGAAGGCAGUCGCGCACCACCUUCCUCCAGGUGCAGCGUGGGACGUGCACGGUGACGUGAGGGUCUUGGUUAGCUGUGGCCAAACUCACGCUACCUGCAGGAGCCAGCUGGAAGAGUCCAGACCACUACGGGCCCGCCGCAACACUUUUUUGAAGGUGUGGACACUGAUGACGAGGCACCACCCCCCCCAAGAAAAACAGCACGACAAUCUGUAGAUGUAGGGCCAGACAUCAAUAGUGAGUGGCUAUUUGGGCCAUCGACCACCCAAAGAGCUCAAUCAAAUGGCAGCCAGAGACUUGAGCUACUACAUCUAGAUACAGUCCAACCAAGCCACCAGCUAUUGCAUGAUAUGGGAAUAUCUAAAGUCGUGGAGCUGCUUUCCAAAGUGCUGGAAGAAAAUAAAUUGAUGAAAGCGGAAAUUACCAACCUGGGGAGUGAAGUGAGGGCGCUUAGGAGAGAGAUGGUGAGGCCGGUAGCACCAGAAGCUGCCGCUUCGUCCAUCAAGCUGCCUCUGAGGACAAUGGAGGAGUUUCAAUUAGCAGAGGCUGUUAUGAGAGAAACCCCCUGCGAAAAACAAAAGAUGAUCUUAACAUUCAGUCUAAUUGGAGGGCACACUGCAGAAGAGGCCGUAAGAAGGAUGUUGCAGAGUGGCCUAACAAAAAACCUGGCGUGUCGCUUCAACUGGGCAGGGAAAGGCUUCAAGGAAGCCUUUAAAAGCACUGUCCUUAGUGAUGUACUGUUCGCUGCACUCCAAAAACAGCUGCCAGGGACCACCCAUAUUGUUUUUUCAGGGACACUGAAGAAGUGGCUUAAAUAUGCACCGGAGAGAGAGGGAGGUGGAGGGAGGCGAACAAAUGAACGCGAUCAGGUAGGCCUAUGUACGCUUGUUCCACACACCAUGCGUCCUUCGACGGAUGAGCGUCGCGAGUGCGACUCUGAACCAUGGACAGGUCUGAACGGACGGACCCAAAAUGCAUUUCGAGAGCGCAAUGCUAUGGAGCCAGUUUCCUGCCAUAAUUCCAACCUGAAAAAAAAAGUUUCAAAGGGUUAUACACUAAAAUUCAAACAUCUGUAAACAUGAUUUGUGUUCUAUUUUAUCUUCAUCAUUUUCACCAACACAUUUUCAAAGUUCAAACAAUAUCACCAGCCCAUUUGCAGAGUUUCAAAUCUG
ensembl:lncRNA